rnacentral:rRNA from 1 species
ACGAACGCUGGUGGCGUGCUUAACCCAUGCAAGUCGCACUGUGAAGCGCCUUCCUUUUUGGUGGGUGUGGAUGAGUGGCGAACGGGUGAGUAACACGUGAGUAACCUGCCCCCUUCUUCUGGAUAACCGCAUGAAAGUGUUGCUAAUACGGGAUAUUCUGGGUCUGUCGCAUGAUGGGUCUGGGAAAGAUAUUGUUUCGGUGGGGGAUGGGCUCGCGGCCUAUCAGCUUGUUGGUGGGGUGAUGGCCUACCAAGGCGGUGACGGGUAGCCGGCCUGAGAGGGUGGACGGUCACACUGGGACUGAGACACGGCCCAGACUCCUACGGGAGGCAGCAGUGGGGAAUAUUGCACAAUGGGCGCAAGCCUGAUGCAGCGACGCCGCGUGAGGGAUGGAGGCCUUCGGGUUGUGAACCUCUUUCGCCAGUGAAGCAGGCCUGCCUCGUUUGUGGGUGGGUUGACGGUGGCUGGAUAAGAAGCGCCGGCUAACUACGUG